rnacentral:tRNA from 1 species
GGUUGUAGCUCAGUGGUACAGCACUUGCCUAGCACAUGUGAGGCCCUGGGUUCGAAAAUCAGCACCA